GGAAGGGCUGCAUUAGAAAAGAAAUCACUCAAUAAGCAUGCAUUGUUUUGUGUAGCUGAUGGUUUUCAUAGCAUAGAUUACUGCACAGUGCUUACAUUCUCCUUCUUUUACCCCCUUCAUCAUCUGAUGUCAGGGUGCUCCUGGUUUGGGCUUUUUUCAGGUUCAUACGCGCUGCAUCAUAAUUGGCUGUUGAAGACAACAAUGAAUUCCCAUCUCUCAGACUUACCUGAUCCUCCAUCCAAACUCUGAUGUUGGAAUCCAUGCUGUCCAGUCCAUGUGAAGAGCACAGGAAGGCUUGUUGCAGCACACUUAAUAGUAGGGUAUCACCAUAUGUCUGGUUGAGCUCCACAAAAGAUCUCGUCUGGCUCAGCUGUUUGAAGCGCAUCUACCUAAAUGUGUCAUUGUAAGGUGGUCUCCCUCUCUCCCUCCCCACCUCUCUCCCUCCCUCCCUUCCCUCCCUCCCUCCCUUAUCA